AUACCAUUCUUCCAUCAUAAGCACAUGAUGAUCAAACUCUAAAUGAUCCUUCUGUCGGCAGAUUCCACGCUUGAGAAAAUGCAGUGCCUUCAAGGGUGUGGUCCAAAUCUGUCUCGUUUUAUUUUGGAAAAUCUGCUUCUCAGGCUCAGCGUAAUCUGCGUUCAGCUGAUGCCACGAUGAUGAAACGCACAUGCACACAGAGAAAGUGAUGAGACAUGCCAGCUUUUCUUUGUUCAUCCAAUGUAUCCUGAAUUCCUAAUGCAAGUAGUCAGUACUGAAUUAGUGCGGGAUGUUCAGAAGUCCAUAAAUCUGGUUGGGUCAACCAACAGCUGUCCAACAAGCACGAGCAGAACAUCAGGCCACAAGCAAGGACCUGACAUCAUGGACAGCGUAUCGAUGUAUACAGUAUGUGAUACACUAUAUUCAGGAAUAUGGCCGUGCCAUUGCAGUUGCCAGUGGUACAGGGCUACCUACAGGCACAGAGUUCAUCCUGGCUGGGGGCAUUUGAUCUGGAUAAAAUGACCCUUCAUGUUUGAAGAUGAAUCCGUGUACCAGAGCCAGCAGUUGUGAAAGGAAGAAGAUGAAUUCAGAUUCAAAGUGAAGGGCAGGAAAACAAUCACAGUGUCAGGACCCAGUACAGUUUAAUACGAACCACUUGCCGCAAUAGGUGAAGUGGGCUUUACUUUGUCUAAUUGCUAUAUAACUUAUUAUUACUGUUGAAUCAGAUCAGUUACACUAUAGGUAGAGUUCAACACUAGCAGCAUGCCAGUAUGGUAUAUUGAUCAGGACUAGCAAUACAAUACCCUAGAGGUAGAGUUUAUAUAUAAAAUAAUAAAUACCGAAUAAAUAACCACUGAUAGUUUUCAAAAUUAAAUCCUAGCUGUUUUUUAAGAUUAAAAUCCUAGCUGUCAUUAAGCAAUUACUUGUUAAGACCAUGAGCAAUUAUUUUUCGGAAAAAGGUUGUU